rnacentral:rRNA from 1 species
UAGGGAAUAUUAGAAAUGGACGCAAGUCUGAUCUAGCAACACCGCGUGUGCGAAGAAGGCCUUCGGGUCGUAAAGCACUUUUUGGAAGGAAUAGGAAGGAAUCUACUACCAGAAUAAGUCUCGGCUAACUACGUGCCAGCAGCCGCGGUAACACGUAGGAGGCAAACGUUAUCCGGAUUUACUGGGCGUAAAGCGCGUGUAGGUGGUACUGUAAGUAGGGCGUGAAAGCUCCUGGCUCAACUGGGAGAGGCCGUUCUAAACUACAGAACUAGAGGAUGGUAGAGGGAGGUGGAAUUCCAGGUGUAGCGGUGGAAUGCGCAGAUAUCUGGAGGAACACCGGUGGCGAAGGCGGCCUCCUGGACCAUUCCUGACACUCAGACGCGAAAGCUAGGGUAGCAAACGG